rnacentral:tRNA from 1 species
GGGGUUGUGGCUCAGAGGUAGAGCACUCACCUGGCAUGUGUGAGGCACACUGGAUUUGAUCCUCAGCACCA